rnacentral:tRNA from 1 species
UCCCCGGUCGUCUAACGGCAGGACAGCAGGCUCUGAACCUGUUAAUGGAGGUUCGAAUCCUCCCCGGGGAUCCA